AUGGCUGCACUUAAAAUGGGACGG
rnacentral:miRNA from 1 species